UGGGGAAUUUUCCGCAAUGGGCGAAAGCCUGACGGAGCAAUACCGCGUGAGGGAGGAAUGCCUUUGGGUUGUAAACCUCUUUUCUCAGGGAAGAAGAUCUGACGGUACCUGAGGAAUAAGUAUCGGCCAACUCCGUGCCAGCAGCCGCGGUAAUACGGAGGAUGCAAGCGUUAUCCGGAAUCAUUGGGCGUAAAGCGUCCGCAGGUGGUUUCCAAAGUCUGCUGUUAAAGACUGGAGCUCAACUCCGGAACGGCGGUGGAAACUUGGAAACUAGAGUUCGGUAGGGGUAGCAGGAAUUCCCAGUGUAGCGGUGAAAUGCGUAGAUAUUGGGAAGAACAUCGGUGGCGAAGGCGUGCUACUGGACCGUAACUGACACUCAGGGACGAAAGCUAGGGGAGCGAAAGGGAUUAGAUACCCCUGUAGUCCUAGCUGUAAACGAUGGAAACUAGGUGUGGCUUGA
rnacentral:rRNA from 1 species